rnacentral:ncRNA from 1 species
UCUUUCCUUGUCUGGGGGUGGAUUGGGUUGUUCAAUGAACGUGUAGUGAGAACAGCCCUGCUGACACCUAACCAACACAAUCCGCAUCACCUGAACCGCGUGUUCAGAAUAUGGUGCAAUUUUUGGAAGC